rnacentral:rRNA from 1 species
GAUGAACGCUGGCGGCGUGCCUAAUACAUGCAAGUCGAGCGAACAGACGAGGAGCUUGCUCCUCUGACGUUAGCGGCGGACGGGUGAGUAACACGUGGAUAACCUACCUAUAAGACUGGGAUAACUUCGGGAAACCGGAGCUAAUACCGGAUAAUAUAUUGAACCGCAUGGUUCAAUAGUGAAAGACGGUUUUGCUGUCACUUAUAGAUGGAUCCGCGCCGCAUUAGCUAGUUGGUAAGGUAACGGCUUACCAAGGCAACGAUGCGUAGCCGACCUGAGAGGGGGGUCGGCCACCCUGGGACUGAGACACGGUCCAGACCCCUACGGGAGGCAGCAGGAGGGAACCUUCCGCAAUGGGGGAAAGCAUGACGGAGAAACGCCGCGUGAGUGAUGAAGGUCUUCGGAUCGUAAAACUUUGUUAUUAGGGAAGAAAAAAUGUUAAAGUAACUAUGCACUUUUGGACGGUACCAAAUCAAAAAACCACGGCUAACUACGU